GGCCGCGGGAAUUCGAUUCAGGCCUAACACAUGCAAGUCGAACGGGACUGUUUAGUGACGAUUUCGGUCUGAACUUUACAGUUUAGUGGCGGACGGGUGAGUAACGCGUGGAUAACCUGCCUUUCACAGGGGGAUAGCAGCUGGAAACGGCUGGUAAUACCGCAUACGCUCAUGUCACCGCAUGGUGAUGUGAGGAAAGAUUUAUCGGUGAAAGAUGGAUCCGCGUCUGAUUAGCCAGUUGGCGGGGUAACGGCCCACCAAAGCGACGAUCAGUAGCCGGCCUGAGAGGGCGGACGGCCACAUUGGGACUGAGACACGGCCCAGACUCCUACGGGAGGCAGCAGUGGGGGAUAUUGCACAAUGGGCGCAAGCCAGAUGCAGCGACGCCGCGUGAGUGAAGAAGUAUUUCUUAAAGUGAAGCUCUAUCAGCAGGGAAGAAUGACCCGCAAGGGGGAUGA
rnacentral:rRNA from 1 species